AACGAACGCUGGCGGCAGGCCUAACACAUGCAAGUCGAGCGCCCUCUCGGGGGAGCGGCGGACGGGUGAGUAACGCGUGGGAAUAUGCCCUUCUCUACGUAAUAGCCUCGGGAAACUGAGAGUAAUACCGUAUACGCCCUGUGGGGGAAAGAUUUAUCGGGGAAGGAUUAGCCCGCGUUGGAUUAGGUAGUUGGUGGGGUAAUGGCGUACCAAGCGGACGAUCCAUAGCUGGUGUGAGAGGAUGAUCAGCCACACGGGGACUGGGACACGGCCCAGACUCCUACGCGAGGCAGCCGUGGGGAAUCUUAGAAAAUCGGGGCAAUCCUGAUCUAGCCAUGCCGCGUGAGUGAUGAAGGCCUUAGGGUUGUAAAGCUCUUUCAGCUGGGAAGAUAAUGACGGUACCAGAAGAAGAAGCCCCGGCUAACUCCGUG
rnacentral:rRNA from 1 species